CGGAACGAGGUGCGAGGAGCCUCGUUAAUAGGUGGGGGGUAAGAGUUGUCGGGAUUUAAUGGGCGUAAAUGAUGGGUAGGGGGAUAGUUAAGUGAGAUGUGAAAUUCCCGGGCUUAACUUGGGAGCUGCAUUUCAAACUGGGUAUCUAGAGUGCGGGAGAGGAGAGUGGAAUUCCUAGUGUAGCGGUGAAAUGCGUAGAGAUUAGGAAGAACACCAGUGGCGAAGGCGACUCUCUGGACCGUAACUGACGCUGAGGCAUGAAAGCGUGGGGAGCAAACAGGAUUAGAUACCCCUGUAGUC
rnacentral:rRNA from 1 species